rnacentral:rRNA from 1 species
AACGAACGCUGGCGGCAGGCCUAACACAUGCAAGUCGAACGAACCCUUCGGGGUGAGUGGCGCACGGGUGCGUAACACGUGGGAAUAUACACAUAGGUAAGGAAUAACUCAGGGAAACUUGCGCUAAUACCUUAUAAUAACUCCGGUUCAAAGACUUAUCGCCUAUGGAUUAGCCCGCGCUAGAUUAGUUUGUUGGUGAGGUAAGAGCUCACCAAGACUACGAUCUAUAGCUGGUCUUAGAGGAUGAUCAGCCACACUGGAACUGAGACACGGUCCAGACUCCUACGGGAGGCAGCAGUGAGGAAUAUUGCGCAAUGGAGGAAACUCUGACGCAGCCAUGCCGCGUGAAUGAAGAAGGCCUUAGGGUUGUAAAAUUCUUUCAGAUGCGAAGAUAAUGACGGUACCAUCAGAAGAAGCUCCGGCUAAAUUCGUG